rnacentral:lncRNA from 1 species
CCAAUUAUCUUGUCGUAGUGACCAUUAUAACUCAGACUCGUAGAAAUAUGAAUCAAUCUCAACAAAGUGUUAAAAAACACAUUAAAAAGUACUAAAGUUUGACGCAUAAAUAUAUAUAAACUAACUGAUUUUCUCACCUUGAGAUGUAUCAGCUACCACAACCGAGGAAAUGAGAAGAACAAUAGCGAAAAGGAUAUCGAGGAAAAGAAAAACCUUAGGCUUCAUUUUUCUUAAGAGAAAGAUUUUAAGAAAUAGGAUGGAAUCAUU